CGCGCUGGGCGCUCGGGGACGCGAGGCCCGGGCCGGGCGGGCCCGCAGCCGCCGCGCCCUUUGCUUUUUAUUUUAUUUUAUUUUAUUUUUGAGCUGGGGCCAGCAGAUUAUGUCCUGCCAGCUCUCCUGGAGGAUUUGGAAUACUGUACAGCAAGGCUGAGCGACGGUGCUUUUGGAAUAGAUUCAUGAAAAGGCAUGUCUGAUCCUCAGCUUUUAUGAAUAAAUAUUCAUCUGUGCAUCUUCUCGAACAUUUGUGGAUAAAUUGCCAUGUUGCUAUGCAAAGAGAAGAAGGCUCUGAGCACUACAAAUCAUCUCUGACAAGCCGAUACUGUAACACAGGCUUGUGAGACUAGACACACACAGUAGAGAGUCUUCGUGAACUCCAAAGGAACAGUCAAGGCCUGUGAAAAAGGAUGAAAUGACGAAGAAUGUACUAUCCUGUGACCUUGAAGAUAGAUGUUCAAGUCUUCUCCCUACCAUAGACUUCCUCUAUCUAAGCAAUAUUGUGUUAUACAAGUUGACAAGUGGAUUAGACUGGAAAGAAGAAGCAAUUAUAUUCAGAAGCGUACUUAAAUUGACCAAGCUCCCAUGGACUUCAGUACAAGUCUUUCUGUUAUAAAAGGAACUACUCUGGGUCUAUAGGGAAUAUGUGUUUGCUACAAAUGGUUUUGAGAAGGGAAUUAGACAUUUCCCAUUAGUUCCUUAUACUUAAUGCCCAUCAAGCUUCAGGCCUGUUUAAACAGUUCACACAACUUCUUCCUUGACUCAAGUCCUUAGCCAGAUGUCUAAGCAGUGAUAAAGUGUACAUUUUUAUCCAGGAUUAUGAAAAGUCAGAUGCCACUUCUGCAUGUGUAUAGGUGCUGAUACUGAGUAGUGCUUAUUUACUAUGUCAGUGUUUCUGUAACUUCACCAGUCCAUUAUAACAGUUUAAUGCAGGUGAAACCCAUUUUAUUAUAACAGUUUCACGCUAGUGUGAAUCUAUUAAAUUAGUGUAAAACUCAACAAUCAGUAGAGGUAAAAAAAGGUACAUCAGGUUCAGGAAGGAGUACAUUUUAUACUGUAUUUGUAUAAAAUUGGAGACAUAUAUAGUCUCUGUGAAAAUUGAUAUGAAAGGUAAUCAAGAAUAAUAUACAAUGGUAUUUCACUUUUCACUGAAAGACUGUAACAUGUUUGGCAAAUCUUAUGAAUGGCUCCCAAUACUGUGAAAGAGAUGGCCAGAUUUAUCCUCCACUGGAAUUACAUCAGAAUAAAAUUUGCUUUCGAUUUA